UGAAUAAGUCCCAAUGGUGUCCAAUAUUUUUGGUAAGUUUUGGAUUGUUUUUAUAUUUAUGAAUUAGGCCAUUUAUUAUGUUUUUAUAUUCAAUAUUAUCCAAAAUGCUGUUAUUAAUUUUAAAAUAUCCUUUCCCUUUUGAUUGUGAUCUCCCUUUCAACUUUAAUGAUAUAGCUCGGUGGUCUGUGUGAGAUAUAAGUGCAGGUCUUAUAUCUGCUGAGUAUAUAUGUGAUCUUAUUUCUUGGCAUAUAAGAAAGAAAUCUAUGCGAGAGGCUUCAUUCAUAUUGUUUUGCGCCUCCAUGUAAAUUGUGUAUUGUUACUAUGUGUCUCUCUCCAAAUGUCUAUCAACUUUAGUGUUUCAAUUAGAUUUUUUAAACUGUUAACUGGUUUUUGUGUUUUUUUAUUUGUGCUGUAUUUUUUUCUGUCAAUAUUUGAUAGAGUAUCAUUCAUAUCUCCACCAACAAUUACCAUCCCUAAGCUAUUCUCUGAUAUCAUUUCCUUUACUUUUUUGAAAAAAACGUUUCUGUUUUUUGUAAAUUUGGAGCAUAAAUAUUCACUAAAGUAUAAAUGCUAUCUUUAAUUUCUAUAUCGAGCAAAAUUAUUUUCCAUUCAUUAUCUAGAAAUUUAUCAAUAGAUUUUUAUUCUAUUUGCUCAUUAAUAUAAAUUGACACCCCUCUUGAUUGUGAAUUACCAUAGCUAUUAUAUAUGUCACCUUUAAAUUCUUCAUUCAAAUCUUUCUCUAAAUCAACAGUGAAAUUGCUUUCUUGUAUAAAUAAAAUAUUACAAUGUUGAUGCUUCAUCCACAUAUGAAGUCUUUGUCUUUUAUCUUUUGAUCCUAGUCCCUGACAAUUCAAUGAACAUAUAUGUAUAGUUUCAUUCAUUAUUUGUCAUAAGUGUCUUAAUGAAAAUACAAUGUUUACCCAAAUCUAAUGUUAACAACAUAAUAAUAAUAAAUGCAGAGUCAAUAUGUAUUUUUUUAAUCUAUAUAUUAUACACCUUCUACAUACACUUGUUAAUUUAAUAAAAAAAAAAUAUACCAUUAUGUAAGCGAUACAUAUACAAACUGUAAAUUAUGCUUUUAAUGUGUUACUCAUAAUAUUGUGACAUUGUACUUAUUGUUGUUUUAUUGUCUAUCUUCAGUCGGUGUUCGACCUGGACUUUAAUAAUAGGUUAACCCAGUUUCACCUGUGAUGAAUUUAAAUGCCACAUGAAGUUAACAAUUGGUUUGAUAGAAAAUUUAUGUGAUAGUGGAUGUUUAAAAUUUCGUAAUCCAUGUGUUUUGGAAACUUGAAACCUGCACGUAUUAUUCAUGGAUUUACCUAGGAAUAUUAGAACUGUAUAUACA
rnacentral:lncRNA from 1 species